GUCCAGGGUAGCCUAGUGGUCAUCUGCCCGGUAAGCGGAAGGUCGUGGGUUCGAUUCCCAUCCCUUGACA
rnacentral:tRNA from 1 species